rnacentral:lncRNA from 1 species
AAAUCAAAAUAAACUUCCAAAAUUACCCUUUGUUAUUAGUGUUGGAAAGGGGGAAAGAGAGAGAAUAAUUAAUGACACACAUUUUACAAGUUAGAAUUAAUAAGGGCAUCAUUGGAAAAAAUUAAUUAAUAUAGCUCAAACAUUCAUUUGGUUCUUAUAAAAAGGACCAAAUUUUUUCUUCUCUUUCAUGCUUAUAAAUAGGACCGGAGGGAGUAUUUAUUAGCAUUGACAGGGCAUCCACUUAACCCAUAUGGAUUGAGCCAGGGAGAUAAAUAAGUAAUGCUAAAACAAAAUGCUCAUGGCUAAAAACCCACCACCAUUCCCACUCGGUGAAAAACAUCACACUACAAUAUUCACUCCCAAAAAUCUGUUUCCCCUGAUCUUAACAACUUUAGCCAGGGAAAAAGUAAUAUUUUAAAACAAAGGCAAGGAAAAAGUUAAAAUAAUACCGUUUCUUUUUCUUUUUAUUUUUUAAAAAUCAGUGGCCAUGCUUCUUCUGCUUCUUACACAAAACUUCAAUCAAUUGCAGUACUAAAUAUUGACAAAUAAUCAACCGCACUAAAUUAAAAAUAACGGAAAAAUACAUAGUAAAAAAACUCAAAUCGCCGUGGUCAAAUUGGCAAGUCCUAGAAAAAAAACUUAUGUUAUUAACAUGGAAUCGGUGUAGGAGUUCCCGAACCCGAACAACUAUUCAAGUUGCCAAGAACUAAAAAUUCCCUCAUCAUUUAUAUAAGCAUUGACGGAAGCAUCCACUUAACCCAUAUGUAAUGAGCCAGAGAAAAAAAGUAAGCAAUGCUAAAACUACUACCCAAUGUUUCCAACCACGCAAAUAGAAGCAAUGAAUACAUAGUAAAAAAACUCAAAUCGCCGUGGUCAAAUUGGCAAGUCCUAGAAAAAAAAACUUAUGUUAUUAACAUGGAAUCGGUGUAGGAGUUCCCGAACCCGAACAACUAUACAAGUUGCCAAGAACUAAAAACUCCCUCAUCAUUUAUAUAAGCAUUGACGGAAGCAUCCACUUAACCCAUAUGUAAUGAGCCAGAGAAAAAAAGUAAGCAAUGCUAAAACUACUACACAAUGUUUCCAACCACGCAAAUAGAAGCAAUGUUUCUCGAAUUGAGAGGUCUUAAGCAUCAUCUAAUUACUUAAUCUACACAUUCAAUGAUCUUGUAGGGAAUUAGAAAUGUAGGAGUUCCCGAACCCGAACAACUAUCAAGUUGCCAAGAACUAAAAACUCCCUCAUCAUUUAUAUAAGCAUUAACGGAAGCAUCCACUUAACCCAUAUGUAUUGAGCCAGAGAAAAAAAGUAAGCAAUGCUAAAACUACUACACAAUGUUUCCAACCCCGCAAAUAGAAGCAAUGUUUCUUGAAUUGAGAGGUCUCAAGCAUAAUCUAAUUACUUAAUCUACACAUUCAAUGAUCUUGGUGGGAAUUAGAAAUGCAGGAGUUCCAGAACCCAAUUCAAGAAAAAUAAAUUAAAUACAUAGUAAAAAAUAACGGAAAAUACAUAGUAAUCAAAUUGGCAAGUCCUAGAAAAAAAACAUAUGUUAUUAACAUGGAAUCGGUGUAGGAGUUCCCGAACCCGAACAACUAUACAAGUUGCCAAGAACUAAAAACUCCCUCAUCAUUUAUAUAAGCAUUGACGGAAGCAUCCACUUAACCCAUAUGUAAUGAGCCAAAGAAAAAAAGUAAGCAAUGCUAAAACUACUACACAAUGUUUCCAACCACGCAAAUAGAAGCAAUGAAUACAUAGUAAAAAAACUCAAAUCGCCGUGGUCAAAUUGGCAAGUCCUAGAAAAAAAACAUGUUAUUAACAUGGAAUCGGUGUAGGAGUUCCCGAACCCGAACAACUAUACAAGUUGCCAAGAACUAAAAACUCCCUCAUCACUUAUAUAAGCAUUGACGGAAGCAUCCACUUAACCCAUAUGUAAUGAGCCAGAGAAAAAAAGUAAGCAAUGCUAAAACUACUACCCAAUGUUUCCAACCACGCAAAUAGAAGCAAUGAAUACAUAGUAAAAAAACUCAAAUCGCCGUGGUCAAAUUGGCAAGUCCUAGAAAAAAAAACUUAUGUUAUUAACAUGGAAUCGGUGUAGGAGUUCCCGAACCCGAACAACUAUACAAGUUGCCAAGAACUAAAAACUCCCUCAUCAUUUAUAUAAGCAUUGACGGAAGCAUCCACUUAACCCAUAUGUAAUGAGCCAGAGAAAAAAAGUAAGCAAUGCUAAAACUACUACACAAUGUUUCCAACCACGCAAAUAGAAGCAAUGUUUCUCGAAUUGAGAGGUCUUAAGCAUCAUCUAAUUACUUAAUCUACACAUUCAAUGAUCUUGUAGGGAAUUAGAAAUGUAGGAGUUCCCGAACCCGAACAACUAUCAAGUUGCCAAGAACUAAAAACUCCCUCAUCAUUUAUAUAAGCAUUAACGGAAGCAUCCACUUAACCCAUAUGUAUUGAGCCAGAGAAAAAAAGUAAGCAAUGCUAAAACUACUACACAAUGUUUCCAACCCCGCAAAUAGAAGCAAUGUUUCUUGAAUUGAGAGGUCUCAAGCAUAAUCUAAUUACUUAAUCUACACAUUCAAUGAUCUUGGUGGGAAUUAGAAAUGCAGGAGUUCCAGAACCCAAUUCAAGAAAAAUAAAUUAAAUACAUAGUAAAAAAUAACGGAAAAUACAUAGUAAUCAAAUUGGCAAGUCCUAGAAAAAAAACAUAUGUUAUUAACAUGGAAUCGGUGUAGGAGUUCCCGAACCCGAACAACUAUACAAGUUGCCAAGAACUAAAAACUCCCUCAUCAUUUAUGUAAGCAUUGACGGAAGCAUCCACUUAACCCAUAUGUAUUGAGCCAGAGAAAAAAAGUAAGCAAUGCUAAAACUACUACACAAUGUUUCCAACCACGCAAAUAGAAGCAAUGUUUCUUGAAUUGAGAGGUCUUAAGCAUCAUCUAAUUAAUUAAUCCACACAUUCAAUGAUCUUGUAGGGAAUUAGAAAUGUAGGAGUUCCCGAACCCGAACAACUAUACAAGUUGCCAAGAACUAAAAACUCCCUCAUCAUUUAUAUAAGCAUUGACGGAAGCAUCCACUUAACCCAUAUGUAUUGAGCCAGUGAAAAAAAAAGUAAGCAAUGCUAAAACAAAAUGAUCAAGCCUUAGAACCCCAAACCCACCACCAUUCCCAUCUAUAAAAUAACACUAUCAAAUGCAUUCCCCAAAAAUUAGUUUCCUCAAAUUUUACCCCU